CUGCGCUCCUGACCGCUGGGAUCUGUCGUCCUUGCCCAGCGAGCCACCCAGCCUAGGCGGCGAGCCAUCGAAGUACAAGACCCAAGACGCCCCACGGCCGCACGGCGCGCCUGUCCGCGCGGCUCUCGCGCUUCUCCUGCGAGCCAGCAUCCUAGUGUUGGUGGGCUGCGGCUGCUCACCUGGGCGUGGCCGCCGGGUCCUCUCCGGUCUCCCGGCUUCCUCGGUGGCCAGUGGUGUUUACAUAGCUAUCCCCUAUGCAAGAAAGAUGUGCUCAUGAGAAGGACCAGAAAUAUUGCUCCGCGUGCUAACAUCUUCAUAGGUUUUCAACACAUACUCCAAUGAAGACUAUGACGGGAGAAAUGAUCAAGUUGGCCGUGUGGCUGCAUCUGCUGAGUAUGAACUUGAAAAGCGAGUAGAAAAGCUGGAACUUUUCCCGGUGGAGCUGGAGAAAGGUACAGCAGGACUCCAGUGUUUGUGUCUUCGUGUCUCUCUAGUAACAAGGUGUGUCUUUUCCAGAGCAUAGCUUGUUUCUGAGUUCUUACUCAGUAAACUUGUGCCUUUCCCCGAUAUUGACCGAGUUUCGAAGAGUUGAUGUGGAUUUUGAGCAGAUUCUCUACUUAAUGACUUUCUCAUCUCACCAGCUCCCAAACAACUCAGUUCCCAUAUCUGGCUGGGUUAGUGGUUCAUAUGGGGGGUGUGACGCAAGCGGUGUGACACAAGAGGAGGAAGCCUCAACUGAGAUGGGCACUCGUGGAGGGCCGGAGCUGAUGCAGACGCCACGAAGGGGAGCUUACUGGCUUGCUCAUCAUGGCUUCCCAGCCUGCUUCCCUGUGGAAUCCAGGACCACUGGCCCAGGUGUGGCAUCACCCACACUGCACUGGGUCCUCCCGCAUCAACUACUAAUUAAGGAACUCCUGAGUUCCCGUCUGACUAUUUUUAAUGAUGAACUGUGAUGUGGAAGUUUAAGGCAAAUAAACA